rnacentral:rRNA from 1 species
GGCGGCGGCYACCAUGCAAGUCUGACUGGAAAGUCUCCUUCGGGAGACGACUACAGUGGCGGACGGUUGAGUAACGCGUGGGAAUCUACCCGGUAGUGGGGGAUAACCCUCCGAAAGGAGGGCUAAUACCGCAUAAGUCUUACGAGGUAAAGAUGGCCUCUUUACAAUGCUAUCGCUUCCGGAUGAGCCCGCGUCCUAUUAGCUAGUUGGUGAGGUAACGGCUUACCAAGGCGACAAUGGGUAGCCGGUCUGAGAGGAUGAACGGCCACACUGGGACUGAGACACGGCCCAGACUCCUACGGGAGGCAGCAGUGGGGAAUUUUGCGCAAUGGGGGAAACCCUGACGCAGCAACGCCGCGUGAACGAUGAAGGCCUUCGGGUCGUAAAAUUCUGUUCUGGGGGAAGAAACAGCAAAAAGACAAUACCUUUUUGCCUUGACGGUACCCCAGCAGAAAGCUCCGGCCAAUUAUGUGCCAGCAGCCGCGGUAAUACAUAAGGAGCAAGCGUUGUCCGGAAU